AGUGGGAUAAGUGAUCGCGGCUGCUUGAAGCAGCUGAGGAAAGUCCGGGCUUCAAAGGGCAGGAUGCCGGAUAACGUCCGGUGGAGGCGACUCUAAGGAUAGUGCAACAGAAAUAAACCGCCGGCCAUGCGCCGGUAAGGGUGGAAAGGCAGUGUAAGAGACUACCGCCCGGCUGGUAACAUCCGGGGCAAAUGUAAACCCCAUCCGAAGCAAGACCAAGGUGAAGCGUACGUGGCCCGCCAGCUUCCGGUAGGUCGCUUGAGACUGCUGGCAACAGCAGUACCAGACAGAUGAUCACUCACGACAUAACCCGGCUUAUCGUCCCGCUCGU
rnacentral:RNase_P_RNA from 1 species